rnacentral:rRNA from 1 species
CUUGGUGAUUCAUAAUAACUUACGAAUCGCAUGGCCUUGUGCCGGCGAUGGUUCAUUCAAAUUUCUGCCCUAUCAACUUUCGAUGGUAGAGUAGUGGUCUACCAUGGUUUCAACGGGUAACGGGGAAUUAGGGUUCUAUUCCGGAGAGGGAGCCUGAGAAACGGCUACCACAUCCAAGGAAGGCAGCAGGCGCGCAAAUUACCCAAUCCCGACACGGGGAGGUAGUGACAAUAAAUACUGAUACAGGGCUCUUUUGGGUCUUGUAAUUGGAAUGAGUACAAUUUAAAUCCGUUAACGAGGAACAAUUGGAGGGCAAGUCUGGUGCCAGCAGCCGCGGUAAUUCCAGCUCCAAUAGCGUAUAUUAAAGUUGUUGCAGUUAAAAAGCUCGUAGUUGAACUUCAGACCUGGCCGGGCGGUCCGCCUAACGGUGUGUACUGUCUGGCUGGGCCUUACCUCUUGGUGAGCCGGCAUGCCCUUCACUGGGUGCGUCGGGGAACCGGGACCUUUACCUUGAGAAAAUUAGAGUGUUCAAAGCAGGCUUACGCCGGAAUACAUUAGCAUGGAAUAAUAAAAUAGGACGUGCGGUUCUAUUGGGUUUCUAGAGUCGCCGUAAUGAUUAAUAGGGAUAGUUGGGGGCAUUUGGUAUUGCGUUGCUAAAGGUGAAAUCUUGGAUUUACGGCAAGGAAAAAUAUUGGGAAAGGCCAUUUGGCCAAAGGGAAUGUUUUCCAUUUAAUUCCAAAGAA